UACAUGAGUAAUUGUGUAACAUGUUAAUUGUUUGAGUCAAAGUUCCAGAUGCUUGAAAUCUAGAUAAAUAGAAUUUUCCAGUGAGAUAUACUUGGCAUGUCGUUGGAGGAUUAUUGAUUUCAUUAAAGGGUUAAUGCAGAUGUUCUUAUCAAUGUGUCUCAAUCCACACUAUAUCCUACUUGUUGCUAACUGAAAGGACAAAGCAUUUGACUUUUGGAUUUUAUAUGGUUGAUGGUACAUCAGGAAGUCCUUGAUAUUGGUUUGCACGAAACAUUUGCAACAUGAAGAUGCCAAGAAUUGGAAGCUUAUAUCUAUGGAUACACUUCCAAUACAAAAUAAAUACAUUUAAGAGUGGCAGGAUGUUUUGCAUAGAGUUCAUUAGCCAUGGAGACCAUGAUUCAAUAGUCAAAUAUGAGCAGUUGGGUUAAGUGGGUUAAUUCUGAUCCACCUACAGCCAUAUUGCACCUGGAGGUGCCGUGUUGGGAACUUAAGGAAGAAGAAUAAAAUUUGAAGUUGACUUGGAAUAAAUGCCCAUAUCAUGAUCAUCAUGUGGUUCUUUUGUGAUUUGCUUGUUGUGAGCAGUCCUCUAAUCAAGGGCAGGGUUAGGUGCAAUGCAGCAGUUUGUUCUCAUGAUCAUGUUUUGGCAGAUUACUUUUGCUAUGUCAAGAUUGGUAGGUUCCUGUCAUGGUUGAAGGAUGUUGCAAAUGAAAAUCUAAGUGGCAUGGUGCUUGUUUUAUUUGUGAAUCUAGAGAUUGGUACAAGGUUCUUGCUGGUUGUUGGCACUGGCUUACUACCAGUUCUAUUAGUCCUUCCAUUAAGGAGGCCAUUUAAUAUCUGGUGCAAAGAGGGUGCUGGUAAUUUUGGUCUUGACAAGUAGCAGAGCUGUAUCAAAAAUAAUUCUCAGGAAGGGUUGGACUCAAAGAACGUUCAUUAGAAGCAUCAGCAGCAGCAGGAAAAGUUUUUGCAUCAAACAGGAGGAUAGGAAGUUUUCUCUUGAGCAGCAGUGACACAAAGAUGAAAGCUUGAUUGCUUGUAGUUUUUAUUUCCCCUGGUUUUGGUUGCAAUUUUUAAAGAUUAUUUUACUUCUUUGAUAUGUUGACAGUAGAUUUACUUCUUUGGUGUUUGGUUGGCUCUAAAGAUAUUUAUAGUCUUUGUUGUAUUGCAUGUUUCUUUUAAUAAUAAUUACUCCAAAGAAA